rnacentral:rRNA from 1 species
GACGAACGCUGGCGGCGUGCCUAACACAUGCAAGUCGAACGAGGUCCAAGGGAGCUUGCUCCCUGAAGACCUAGUGGCGAACGGGUGAGUAACACGUGAGAAACCUGCCCUCGAGUGGGGAAUAACCCGGGGAAACCCGGGCUAAUACCGCAUACGCUCCUCUGGUCGCAUGGCCGGAGGAGGAAAGUUUUUCGCUCAAGGAGGGUCUCGCGGCCUAUCAGCUUGUUGGCGGGGUAGCGGCCCACCACGGCUACGACGGGUAGCUGGUUUGAGGAAACGAGCAGCCACACUGGGACUGAGACACGGCCCAGACUCCUACGGGAGGCAGCAGUGGGGAAUCUUGCGCAAUGGGCGAAAGCCUGACGCAGCAACGCCGCGUGCGGGAUGACGGCCUUCGUGGUUGUAAACCGCUUUCAGCAGGGACGAAAAUGACGGUACCUGCAGAAGAAGCUCCGGCUAACUACGUGCCAGCCGCCGCCGUAA